rnacentral:rRNA from 1 species
UACAGAGGUCUCAAGCGUUGUUCGGAUUCAUUGGGCGUAAAGGGUGCGUAGGCGGUCGGGUAAGUCUGAUGUGAAAGCCCACGGCUCAACCGUGGAGGGUCAUUGGAAACUGGGGGACUUGAGUGCAGAAGAGGAAAGCGGAAUUCCACGUGUAGCGGUGAAAUGCGUAGAGAUGUGGAGGAACACCAGUGGCGAAGGCGGCUUUCUGGUCUGUAACUGACGCUGAGGCGCGAAAGCGUGGGGAGCAAACAGG